GCAUUGGUGGUUCAAUGGUAGAAUUCUUGCCUGCCAUGCGAGUGAUCCGGGUCCUAUUCCCGGCCAAUGCA